rnacentral:lncRNA from 1 species
AGACAGGACCAGGGUUGUAUUUGGGCCAUGAUUUGAUGAAGAUCAUAACUGACUCAUGAAAAAAGUUGUAAUGGGGCUUCUCUGCUUAAGUUUCAGUUCAGUUCAGUUCAGUUCAGUCGCUCAGUCUAUGUUAUACUAAAAAAAAAGAACACAUGCAUCAGAUCAUAUUCCACACCAAAAUGAUAGCAGAAGUUAUUCUACUUUUUUUAAGUUGGCAAAAACACUACAAGUGACCAGGCAAGAAUGACUAAGGACAGAAGAGAUUCAAAGCCCACUAACUGCUCACUGAAUGAACUGCAGUCACAGAGGCAUCACUUGGGAAGGAAGCGUUCUGACACGUAGAGUGGAAAAUGUGCCUCAGAAGGAGGAGUCCCAAGACCUGGGUUCAAAACCCCACUCUGCUAUUCACCUGCUGUGCGGUGGCUGGGGGGCUCAACUUACAUCCUUGGUCCUUUAUAUUUUCAACUGUAAAAAAAUAGGCUAGCCGUUCUAGUUCUGAGAUUGUAUGAUUAUCUGAUUACCAAAUUUACCUUAUCUACCAAUCACCAUGGUACAAAACAUUCAAAGAUGACAACAUUAUUAUCAACAAAUUCUUUGAUCAAAUCAGUUGUUUUGUUUUGCUUUUUUUGGUCAAAAGAAACAGAAGGCACCUACGUUGAACAUGUUUCAUUUCCUGGCAUACUCACCAACUCUCUGGAAAGUAAAUACUAUCAGGACCCCUAAACUGAAGCUCAAAAGGACGCAGUAUUUGCUUAAAGUAUCCUCAGGACCGAGACCGUGUACCUAUUUUUGCACUGCCACACCAUUGAGAUCCACUGUGUGAAUUCAACCCUGUGAAGUCACACAGCUGGAAUCUACUUUUAAAAGCACCCUGUAUAUUUUGACUACAGGUCAGAACCUAAUCAGGUAUGAUUGAGCAGCUGACAAAGUACAGGAUAUUUAUAAAGCCCGUUCCUACACACAUCAAAAUGUUUUUAAAUAUUAAAAAGACAAAGCUUUUAAACCAGUACAAAAACAUUUUCAUAGUCUAGUCUAAAAACAGAGUAUUUAACCCAAGGUACUUAUAUAUAAGAAAAUAUAAGUGGAUCCCAUACGCACAUAAAACAGUGAUGUAGUCCCAAGGCAUGGGAGUCAUUGGUGGUGUAACUAUGGUGAGUAUAUUCCUAGCCAUGUGUUCCAAAACUGAUAUAAACAUAAUCAGUGGGAAAUUAAAUUCUGAUAGAGCCAAGAGUAUUGCUUUGAAAAGCUUUUAAGCAUUUAUCUCUCCAAUGAUCUCAUGGGGAGUUCAAGCUAGCUUUUCAAGCAAUGACACUGUCCAAAGCUCUAAAAAGCAGAUAUUUAUCAUAGCAUUCAAUCUGUUGCAAGGAUUUCUUGGCAGUUUGAGUCAGUAUAAAGAAAUAAAGUUUUCACGUUAUCACAAAUGGGGAAAGAAGUUGUUAUCUUAAAGUACUACCUCUCCUUACCCUUUAAUUUAAUUAAGAUACUCUCUCGAGGUUAUAAUAAUGACUUUUAUUAUUCUUUACACUAAUAAUAUUUGUUUCCUACAAAUAUGAAUGUAAAUGUGUGAAAAAAUAAAAAUAACUUUUAAAAAAUGACACUAGAUGACCAACGCAAAAUAGAUGAUCAACUUUAUCAGUUUUGUUUUAUAUUUUCAGUUGUGUUACUAUCUCCCAAAGGAAUGCUUCGGAGUCAAUGGUACUGACAAGUUUGAAAUGCAAAUGUAUACUGCUCAUAAAUACAUUAUUUUCAAGGAAUGCAGUAUUUGACUCAAAAUAUUAAUGUUUGAACUAUUAUAUACAAAUGUUCGGCAUUAUGAGAAUACAAGGCAAUAAAAUCUAGUUUUCAUACUCAAGGAGCUUUUAAUCCAUGAGUAGAGAUAAAAAUUUCAUCUUCAGAUGAAAUUGAGACAAGAUGAUAUUAUGUGGGAACAGUAACACAACAGCAAAAUUAUCAUCUUGAAUGAACUUUCUCAAUGAGAUCUUGAACUGUCUAAAGUGGUUUAUUUAAAUACCUUUAUGAAAUUUUGAAUAAUGUUUCUAGCCUCUAUAAGGUAUCAA